rnacentral:rRNA from 1 species
GGUGAACGUUGGCGGUGCGUCUAAUACAUGCAAGUCGAGCGAGGCUUCGAGCCGAGCGGCGGAUGGCUGAGUAACACGUUGGUAACUACCUCGAACUCAGGGAUAAGCGCGAGAAAUUGCGUCUAAUACCGGAUAGUCCCGAAAGGGUAAAGAUUUUUCGGUUCGAGAGGUGCCUGCGGCCUAUCAGCUAGUUGGUGAGGUAAUGGCUCACCAAGGCUAUGACGGGUAGCUGGUCUGAGAGGAUGAUCAGCCAGAGGGAGACUGAGACACGGCUCCC